AACGAACGCUGGCGGCAUGCCUAACACAUGCAAGUCGAACGGGAACGUCGGGUCUACUGGCGCACGGGUGCGUAACGCGGGGGAACCUGCCCUUAGAUUCGGAAUAACUCCCCGAAAGAGGUGCUAAUAACGGCUAGGAUCUUCGGUCCAAAGCUUUAUCGCCUUUGGGUGGGCCCGCGUUGGUGUAGCUUGUUGGUAGGGUAAAAGCCUACCAAGGCGACGAUCCAUAGCUGGUCUGUGAGGCUGAGACGCCACACUGGGACGGAGGCACGGCACAGAUUCCUACGGGAGGCCGCAGUGCGGAAUACUGGACCAGGGGCGAAGGGCUGAGCCAGCCAGGCUGCGUGAGGGAUGAAGGUCUUAGGGUUGUAAAGCUCUUUUAGCCGGGAUGAUAAUGACGGUACCGGGAGAAUAAGCACCGGCUAACUCCGUG
rnacentral:rRNA from 1 species